AGAGUUUGAUCCUGGCUCAGGACGAACGCUGGCGGCGUGCCUAACACAUGCAAGUGGAGCGACGAACCGCCUUCGGGCGGGGCAAAGCCGCGAACGGGUGAGUAACACGUGGGUAACCUGCCCUGAUGAUUGGGACAACCCGAGGAAACUCGGGCUAAUACCAAAUGUGCCCUCCGACCAUAAGGUCGCUGGGGAAAGGA
rnacentral:rRNA from 1 species